rnacentral:rRNA from 1 species
CCAAUAUAAGAAUAAUUCUGACUAUUUAAUCCUUUCGUACUAAAACAGCCUCUUAAACAUUAAAAGAUAGAAACCGACCUGGCUCACGCCGGUCUGAACUCAAAUCAUGUAAAAAUUUAAAGGUCGAACAGACCUUCUCUUAUAACUUCUGCAAUUAUAAAGAACUUUUAAUUCAACAUCGAGGUCGCAAACUUUCUUUUCGAUAAGAACUCUCAAAGAAAAUAACGCUGUUAUCCCUAAAGUAACUUAAUCUUGAAAUCCCCAUGCAGGAUCUUUUAAAUAUGCACAUAAUCACCUACCCUUGUCUAAAAAUAAAGCAGUUACUAUUCAUUUUACUUUCAUCGCCCCAAUGCAAUAAGAUUUUUCCAAUAAACCUUUAUAACUUAAAAAUUCGACUUACUACACCAUCUUAUAAAGCUUCAUAGGGUCUUAUCGUCCCUUUAAUUCAUUUAAGCCCUUUCACUUAAAAGUUAACUUCUAUUUUAACUACAAAGACAGACCCUCUUUUGUCCAACCAUUCAUACAAGAUCCCAAUUAAGAAACUAACGAUUAUGCUACCUUUGCACGGUCAGAAUACCGCGGCCCUUUAAUAUUUUAUCAGUGGGCAGGCUAGACCAUCUACAUCUACAGACAGACAUGUUUUUGAUAAACAGGCAAAGAGAUUUCUUGCCGAGUUCCUCUGUAAUUUCAUCAAACUUCUAUACUUAAUUCAAUAUUCUAUUCCACUCCUCGAACACUACUAAAUUUUACUAAUAAAAUCAUUAUAUAUUGUCAUCUAACAUUUUAAACUAUUUUUUGAUACUUAACAAAAGUUUUUAUAAAUAUUAUCUACCUCUUUAUUUAGUUAAAACACUUUAUAAAUUUAGCUACUUUUAAGCCUAAUUAAAAAUUACUUUUAUUAUUUAACUGUUUAAUCUUCUAUUAUAAGAAGCUAUUCCCUCCUAUACUUACUUUUUGUGUUUUAUUUACCCACAAAAGUAAAAUUAAAUUUUUUUUUCAAAAAACCAGAUAAAACAAGACUCGACUGGUAUCUCACCUUUAACUUUAUAUUUAAAAUUUAUUUUCUACGAAAACUCUUUUAUAAACUUAGCUGUUCCUGUUUCGGGACCCCUAUAAAACCUAGAUUAUAUUGAUUUUCCCUGAUACACAAGGUACAAAAUUUAACUUUUACUAUCCCAAUUUAUAAAUCACUUUCCUUCACAGUACUUUUACCCUUUAGUUUUAUUUCUUAUUUCACUAAACGCUACUUAAUUCAAUCACAAAAAAUUAUUUUUCUUAAACUCACUUUAACUAUUACCAAACAAACAAGACAUCAAAUAC